rnacentral:rRNA from 1 species
GACGAACGCUGGCGGCGUGCCUAAUACAUGCAAGUCGAACGCAUUUUCUUUCACCGUAGCUUGCUACACCGAAAGAAAAUGAGUGGCGAACGGGUGAGUAACACGUGGGUAACCUGCCCAUCAGCGGGGGAUAACACUUGGAAACAGGUGCUAAUACCGCAUAAUUCCAUUUACCGCAUGGUAAAUGGAUGAAAGGCGCUUUUGCGUCACUGAUGGAUGGACCCGCGGUGCAUUAGCUAGUUGGUGGGGUAACGGCCUACCAAGGCUGCGAUGCAUAGCCGACCUGAGAGGGUGAUCGGCCACACUGGGACUGAGACACGGCCCAGACUCCUACGGGAGGCAGCAGUAGGGAAUCGUCGGCAAUAGACGCAAGUCUGACCGAGCAACGCCGCGUGAGGGAAGAAGGUUUUCGGAUCGUAAAACUCUGUUGUUAGAGAAGAACAAGGAUGAGAGUGGAAAGUUCAUCCCUUGACGGUAUCUAACCAGAAAGCCACGGCUAACUACGUG